CUGGGAUCGUUUAUUUCAACUCAUGAAAUAUGGGACCAAGACUUUACAUGUUGUGUUUAUAUUUUUGUUCAGUAUAUAUCAUUUCUGUUCCCCUUCAUUGAUACUCUGUAAUAUAUAUAGUCGAUGUUCCUGUCCAUUGAUGUUGUGUCAUUGAGUCUGGUCUGAUGAAUGUUAAUAUCCCCGCAUAUGGAUGAGGCCAGAUAACUGCUUGGAGGGCUGUGAUUGGUUGAGCCAGUAGGACACAAUAGAGCCUCUUCCUUUGUGGUGUCCAGGUGCAGACACUUCAAGGCAUGAAGAGAGGUGGGGGCUCUGUCCUCUCCUACACACAACACUGCAACAAACACACCGGAUCACCCAAAGAAGAACAAACAGUCCAGGAAGGAGGCACUCUCCUCCAGCCUGUUUUAAACAAUACAUUACCACCCAGUACAAUGAUUGUGCGUUAUUUUAUCUUUAUUUUAUCUUAAAGACUUUAAAUGCCCACAUCCUUUUCUUGGAAUAUAACAGAAAAAAACUCAACCAUAUACACUGUAAACAUUCACAUUUGAUUAAAAGGUAUCCCCUAGUUAGUAAACGUACCACAAAAGAGCACAGUUGAUUAUGAACAGAAAAAAAAUUAACCUGUAUAGCAGUGGCUCUCCAAACCUUAACCUUUGCAUUUUGAAGUUGAUCUAUGUUCAAUUAAUCAGCUCGUCCCAAAUGGUACCCUAUUCCCAAUAGUGCUCUACUUUUGACCAGGGCCUAUAGGGCUCAGGUCAAAGAUAGUGCCCUAUAUAGGGGCUAGAGAGUGCCAUUCGGACACAUGAUUUCCCAACCCUCCUGGGGAAACACCAGGCUGCAAGUAUUAGUUCUAGCUCUGCCCUAUUUGACACCUAGGUCAGCUGACCAAGGGUUUGGCGGUGAGGUAAUCAGGUGUGUUAGUAUAGGGCUGGAACAAAGAUGUGGACUGUCUGGUCUCCCAAGAAGAAGGUUGAGACGCUGUUGUAGGACAAUUCGAAGUACUGUACCACCAUGAAGCAUGAUAGCAGACCGAGGACUGCACACGGAUACAUCCCGAUCCUCCAAGGAUGCACUUGCACACUCCACAUCGUGGAUUUAAAGGCUAGAGGGAGUUUCCACCAUUGUGAAAUCCAUGACCGUUUGCACCUGUGCACUUCGGAAGAAGGGUAGAGAAUCGGGACACAGUCAACCUCUCCAUCCUUGCCUCAUAAAGGUCUAGCUCAUCAAAGAGAGUCAACCUGUCCUUCUCUGAUUCAUUAAGAAAUGUGAUUCCUUAUCCCUCCAUGAUAGAUGAACAUAACCUGAGGACUAGUGUUUUUCCUCCCCCGUCCAUCGUCAUGAUAGAUGAACCUAACCUGAGGACUAGUGUUUUUCCUUCCCCACUCAUGAUGAUAGAUGAACCUAACCUGAGGACUAGUGUUUUUCCUUCCCCACUCAUGAUGAUAGAUGAACCUAACCUGAGGACUAGUGUUUUUCCUCCCCCACUCAUGAUGAUAGAUGAACCUAACCUGAGGACUAGUGUUUUUCCUCCCCCACUCAUGAUGAUAGAUGAACCUAACCUGAGGACUAGUGUUUUUCCUCCCCCGUCCAUCGUGAUGAUUGAUGAACCUAACCUGAGGACUAGUGUAAGAUCCAAAGCUGGGGCCUAUCAAGCCUUUAGCUCUGUGGACGAAUGUGGUCUUGAGGCACUCAAAUGACUCUGGUUCGAUACCCGGUUUGUUUGGUCACGUCUAGAAUGAAUAAACACAAACCUCAUGCAGUCCUUCAGCAAAUUAGAAGGACUGGUCUCCCCAGCACCAUGUUCCCUAUAUAGUGCACUACUUUAGAUCAGGGCCCAUUAGCACCCUGUUCCCUUUAUAGUACACUAGGGUACCAUUCCCGAUGCAGACGUGGUGAACACUAUUGCCUGGUGGAGAGAUGACGUCACAACAGGAUCUGAUGUCAAGGCACUUCCCCAGAGAGAGAGGAUCUUGUCUUUCAGUGUCUGUGAGGCACCAACAUAUUAAACUAGAUAAUAAAACAGAAUAAUGUCAUUAUUAAACACUUGGCUAGUUCGGAGAACUGGAUUUCUAAAUAAUAAUAAUAACACUGUUUAUUUGGUAGGUUGGUGUCACUUUUAAGCUGGCGAGCCUGGUCUGUUGCUGGGCUGUGUGCAUCUGGUAGUCCUUUUUGAUUAGAAACUCAUCUGGCUUUUGAAACGCAGCACUAACUGUGAGAUAUGCUGUAAGAGACGCUAUCCUGGUACACAGAUUAAGCCUAGUCCUGUAUCAAACACCAAUCUCAUUUGAGAAUCUUAAUUGAAAGUGUUUUUUUUUUCAUCCAGGAAUAGGCUUAAUUUCUGUUCGGGAAAACUGGCCAUAACUGUGGAGCCGUUGCAGUGACACCCCGCUGUUCUACUGGCCAUCAGGAGAAACUAUUGUUAACAGGUCAUUAUCAGGUCCUAACGGGAAUACUGUUAACAUGUCAUUAUCUAGCCCUAACUGGACUACUGUUAACAUGUCAUUAUCUAGCCCUAACUGGACUACUGUUAACAUGUCAUUAUCUAGCCCUAACUGUACUACUGUUAACAUGUCAUUAUCUAGCCCUAACUGGACUACUGUUAACAUGUCAUUAUCUAGCCCUAACUGGACUACUGUUAACAUGUCAUUAUCUAGCCCUAACUGUACUACUGUUAACAUGUCAUUAUCUAGCCCUAACUGGACUACUGUUAACAUGUCAUUAUCUAGCCCUAACUGGACUACUGUUAACAUGUCAUUAUCUAGCCCUAACUGGACUACUGUUAACAUGUCAUUAUCUAGCCCUAACUGGACUACUGUUAACAGAGAUCAUUAUCUAGCCCUAACUGGACUACUGUUAACAGGUCAUUAUCUAGCCCUAACUGGACUACUGUUAACAUGUCAUUAUCUAGCCCUAACUGGACUACUGUUAACAUGUCAUUAUCUAGCCCUAACUGGACUACUGUUAACAUGUCAUUAUCUUGCCCUAACUGGACUACUGUUAACAUGCCAUUAUCUAGCCCUAACUGGAUUACUGUUAACAGAGAUCAUUAUCUAGCCCUAACUGGACUACUGUUAACAUGUCAUUAUCUAGCCCUAACUGGACAACUGUUAACAUGUAAUUAUCUAGCCCUAACUGGACUACUGUCAACAUGUCAUUAUCUAGCCCUAACUGGACUACUGUUAACAGAGAUCAUUAUCUAGCCCUAACUGGACUACUGUUAACAUGUCAUUAUCUAGCCCUAACUGGACUACUGUUAACAGAGAUCAUUAUCUAGCCCUAACUGGACUACUGUUAACAUGUCAUUAUCUAGCCCUAACUGGACUACUGUUAACACGCCAUUAUCUAGCCCUAACUGGACAACUGUUAACAUGUCAUUAUCUUGCCCUAACUGGACUACUGUUAACAUGCCAUUAUCUAGCCCUAACUGGAUUACUGUUAACAGAGAUCAUUAUCUAGCCCUAACUGGACUACUGUAAACAUGUCAUUAUCUAGGCCUAACUGGACUACUGUUAACAUGUCAUUAUCUAGCCCUAACUGGACUACUGUUAACAUGUCAUUAUCUAGCCCUAACUGGACUACUGUUAACAUGUCAUUAUCUAGCCCUAACUGGACUACUGUUAACAGAGAUCAUUAUCUAGCCCUAACUGGACUACUGUUAACAUGUCAUUAUCUAGCCCUAACUGGACUACUGUUAACAUGUCAUUAUCUAGUCCUAACUGGACUACUGUUAACAUGUCAUUAUCUAGCCCUAACUGGACUACUGUUAACAUGUCAUUAUCUAGCCCUAACUGGACAACUGUUAACAUGUCAAUAUCUAGCCCUAACUGGACUACUGUUAACA
ensembl:lncRNA